rnacentral:rRNA from 1 species
UACGUAGGGUGCGAGCGUUAAUCGGAAUUACUGGGCGUAAAGCGUGCGUAGACGGUUAUUUAAGUCGGGUGUGAAAGCCCCGGGCUCAACCUGGGAAUUGCAUUCGAGACUGAAUAGCUAGGGUACGGUAGAGGGAAGCGGAAUUUCCGGUGUAGCGGUGAAAUGCGUAGAUAUCGGAAGGAACAUCAGUGGCGAAAGCGGCUUCCUGGACCAGUACCGACGUCAGGCACGAAAGCGUGGGGAGCAAACAGGA